UGAUAUAUUUCGAUAUCUCACUGCAAACAAACAAAUUUUCUUUUUAUUUUAUGCUAGUUUGUGAAGAUCAAAGAAUUUUCUGUUUAUUACAUGCAUAAAUGUUCAUAUAAAUCCAAUAUUUCAUGACGGAAUUCGGAUUUAUUUAAGCUACCGUGUUACAUAUGAUACAUCCGCUAAAUUACCAUGGACACUUAGGCACAUUAAUAUCGAAUAUUGGUGAUUAGGUUCAUUAAAUCAACACGACGCCAUUUUGUUUUUAAAAACAAAAACUGCAUUUAAAUGUUUUGUGUAAAAAUACACAGUCCGCGGCUAACAGAGACAUUGACAAAUGCCGGUAGUUAAGUAGAAGCAUAUUUAAAACUUUUCGGGUCAAUCCGUCAGUUCGUUGAAUAACCGGAAGCUUGCUUUGUUUACCAAAACACACGCUGAAGGUCAGAUUAAAAAAAAACAACACUAGAAAUCUAAACAACUGUGGAAUAUGCGUAAGCCCUUGGAAAAUCAAGCUGCAGAAUUAAAUAUCAUCAUGGAUUCAAUAGAAAUAGCUAGGAAAUAUUGAUCUAGGAGCUGCAUAGCAUAACAAAAUGGAGGGAAGUUGGAACACAACUGGCUGGGCUUGGAGUUGGAGUGGGAAAGGACUUCGACGAAAAUGAUGGCAUAUUAUGUAAGGUUGAGUUGAUGUUUUGUGAUAAUUAACUAAGACAACAACCAACUAAAUGUGUUGUCGCCAGUAAAAUCUACCACACGGUAGUGAACCAAUGGAAAAAAGUAGAGGAAACACACAUGUCUGUAGCUACAUGAAAUUUAUGGCAAGGCCUAGCAACCAAGCUGACAAAGGUUAAUUCCGUCCUGAGAAGUUAUCCACAACCUUGAGAAAUAGGCCAAUAAAGAUCUUCAGAAUAAGUGUGUGGACAAAGCACCUAUCGUGGCUCUUGGAAUGGUUACGGUCAAAGUGCAUCUUCAUUGAUGGAAGCUCUUAGACACAAAUUAAUAUUGAACCGGGUGAGUCGUAUUCUUUAAUUUAUUUCAUUAAAUUCAAUUCAGAGAUGGAAAGAAUCUUAGAAGUAAUAUUUUAAGAAUGAUCGAAAAUGCGGUCAUAUUGUAGAUAGUAGGUCAAUAGCGUAGCUCAAAGAGGGAACUGUAGGCCAAGUGCAAAAAAAAUAUGUUCAAAUAGCGUCAUAUGUAGCUUUAUAUAUGGACAGAGACAUGUACCAUAAGUACUAUAAGUUUGAGCGUGCACAUGAUGUCUGGUCUCCAGGGCUUUUAUUUUAAUUUAUUUUACAAGUACAAAAAAAAAUAAUAUCGAAUUGUGAGGGGUCUAAGGUUCAAGACCCAAUUGAGCACUGGUUAGGCCCUACGUUAGAUAACUUUUCUAAUUUUGAUUAUUAAGGUAAUUUUAUUUGUGCUCAUUUUGAGUCAAUAAUAAUAAAAAAAAAAAAGGAAAAAAAAUAUGGACAAAUUAUUAUGGGGCGCUGUGAGUUGUUUUUCGUUCUUUAAGUUUCACAGUGGCGCUUUGGGCUAAAGCAUUGAACUAUUGUACCUUUCAUUGUACCUUUUGGUGUAAUGACUGAAAUGUUAGCAUGAAUGCUUUGUUGCGGAAUCAUUUGUCCAUAUAUGGGCAAGUACAUGCUUUAUAUUGGUUUAAGGGGUAAAAUAAAAUAAAUAAAAGUAAAACCCCUUAACUGUUAGAGGCAGCCUUGACUAUAAAAAAUGUCGGCUGAAGUGUCGUCUCUGUCGGCUUCCCAUAACUGACCUGCGCUUAUAUACUUCAAGGUAAAAUGUGCUUCUCAUCGGCCGUCCCCAAGCGUCGAGAGUUGCAAAAGAAAAAAGUAAAAUAAAAACAAAUGUCUUUGCUAAACCUCUAACAACCAGGGUCCCACCAAAGAGGACCCCCUUGAAGCGUUUCCGUGUGUUUGGUCAGUGCAGGUCUGUUUUUGGGAAUAACUGUAUGCGCAGUACAAGUGUACUGUAUCCUUUUGUCCUUUGAACAAGUAGGUUUUAGUUAAAAUAGCAAAAAUCGUACAAGUAAAUUUUGUCUAUAGCUAAUUUGAGUACCGUAUAUAAGGGCAUGGCAGAUUUGAUUCCUGUUUAGUUGGUAUUUUUUGCAUGAUUCGGGCAUAAUAUGUUGUCUUGAUCUGUCCAGUUAGCGUUCAAGUGCAUUGUUAUAAAUAGUCUUUAAUGUUCUGAUGUUUCAUUAAUUUUCGUGCUUAUUUAGGGAAAAUACCUCCAGGUCAACAUUAAAAAUUAAGUUUGUAAAAAGAAUAGUCGUUGUUAUAAGGUAUCAGAAAUGAUAUGGGCGACUACACUUCCAUGAUACGCAUGUCUGACAGCCAGAUUGCAUUUUUUAGCCACGGUACAAGUCCUUUUCUCUUCGUGAGUUUUGUUUUCCAAGGCGUAUCACAUAUAAGACUAAUACCAUAAUCUUACAUCCGUUGUGCUGCUGUUUCAUUCAUAUUUUUCAGCGGCAUUUGCUAAAUUAUUGUCAUCACAGAUUCCAUCGAUUGGCACAACGGUUCACAAAUGUCUUACUGUCGCCAUGUUUCCAGUGAUUGUCUAUAUGGGUUGUAUACCUGUUGUGAUGGACAACUUGAUGAGCAUUCAAUUAACAGGAUGAUUUGUAUCUGCAGCCAUCUAUUGUAGUGAAACGUCUCUAUUUUAGAAAAGGCAAGUAUCUUAUUUACAUGUUUAUGUACAUAUAAACAAAUCGUAAUAGGACGGAUCGCCCCCGAUACAUACAUUUUAUUUAUUUAGCUGAUUAAUGAACAAUUAUUAUGACCAAUUUUCUAACCAUAUUAAGGGGCUUACCUCCACGAGGACACCAAAAUUGUUUUAAUUUUGCAAACUUGGAAAGUAUAUAUAUGAGAAACAUAAGCGUAUGUUUAAUAUCUACUUUGAAAUAUGCUUAUAGAAUAUAAAAGAAAUGAAAUUCUACCCUUAUUUUUCAUACAUCACUUUUAAAUUGCUCUACUGUCGUUUAUGUUUAUAUGUUUAUUUCUCAGUAUGCUUAACAUGCUUAACAAAUGUUCCACAGAUGCGGCACAUUCACAUUAUCAAAUAAUGAAAGUACAUUCUCGUGUUAAAAAAAAAAUCUUGAAGGGUAUCACUUUAAGACAGACGUUUACAUUUAUAUACUGGUGGAAUUAGACCAUUUAGGUCCAUGUUUUGGAGAAGAAAUUUUAAACAUCAUCAAAUCAUGGAAAGUAAUGAUUGUUUUACACGAAAAUUUGAUGUAGCAUAUAAAACAUUUUUCAUUCUAUAAAUCAAUCGUCAAUUUACUCGUAUAUAUAUAUAUAUAGUUUCGAAAGGGGCCUGCAUGGAGAGGCCAUACUUUUGUCAGUUCAGCGCCUUUGAAACCUCAUCAUUGUUAUUAAAACAAAAUAAUAAUAAAAAAAAAUAAAGAACUGUUACAUGUCUUCCUUUGUUGCAUUUGCAACAAUGUACGAAUGCUUGAUAUGUACGAAUGCUUGAUAUUUACAUAUCUAGGUUAAACGUCGUUUUGACUAUUGUUUAAUUUUAUCUAUGUACAAAUGACAUUAAUUUUGUAGGGGGACAAAUCUUUUAGAAUAUUUGGGUGUCCAAUUUGACAGGACAGAACGGUAAAAAGUGUGUUUGAAAGAUGGGUUGUUUAUAAAGAUGUUGAUCAUUCACUAAAAAUUUCUAUGGUUUUCGGAUAUACUGCUAAACCUUACACAAAAAUUUCUACAUUGAUAUGAUAAGAGUAACGCUUGGUUUUAACCUUGGGGCAAUUAUUAUUUUAUUAAGCAGUUUCAUUUAUUCAUAAUGUAUAUAUACGUAUGCAAAAAUAAUAAUUUUAGUGGCCCUUCAACACACAUAAGUGCAUUUCAGGUAUGGCACUAGGCAAGGUGAUUAAUAAUAAAAGACGGAAAAUAAUGAUUCAAAUCGAAUUGGUUCUUUGAUAUUGUUUAUUACUAACAGUUUUUCCCCUUUUGCAGCCAUCGCUGGGGAUGAUUGUUCUUUCGAUUGAUUCAAAUUUUAUCUUAUUUAUUUAAUGUAUUCUGUUUGUACCUUUGCAGUGUCGCUGGGGCAAAUGAAAUUAGGUUAUUUUCAAUAUACAUCUUUAGAUUAGCUGUUUGUAUAGUAUGUGCAUUUUAAACAUUAUGUCACCUUGCCAGUUGCCAUGAGAAAUCUUUAAAAUAAAGCGCGGCCUUUUCCCACUAAACUGUGUUGUAGUUUUCAUUUAUACUGAUAUUUUAGUUGUAGUGGGUGUGACAGACGUAUAUGGUCGGACGCUUACUCAUCUGCCAACGAAAUGUGAUAAUAUCAGUCAUUAAUAAAUUCAAUCUUGUUUUCUUUUAAAAUGACUGAUGAUUUUGCGUCUUGCUAAUGGCUGCUGUCAUUCCCUGUUACAUACGGUCCAGUGAUAAAAUAAUGGGGUUUAUGUUCCCCUUUUUGCAUAAUAAACCUGUUUAUUUUUCAUGGACCUCUGUUCCAGUAAGGAGGUCGCGACGAGAACAGUAUUUUAGUAAUUAGUCGUACGCUAGUUGUUUCCCUUUAUAUUUUGGACGCAAUUUGUAAUGAAAAAGCGUGAAUUUCGGUUUUGGAUUUGCCACGUUUGCAUGACCAUUUCAAUCCUCGUCAGCAAUGGAACAACAUAGACUUUCACUGAAUUUAUCCCACCCGCCCAUGCCCAUAUUUGUUGAUAUUGUUUAUAACUUUAUUGUGAAUCAGAAAUCUUUGCUGCUUCUGUUCAUCUGUUUUUCAGGUUCCUGCAUAGUAGAUCUGUUUCAGAUCAUAGAAUACGUCAUCAGGGAACAGUACAAUAGCAAAAAGUGAUAUUCCCACAAACAACACACACAGCUAUGAAGUGACUGAUGAAUAAUUUGGUCAUGUAAUAAAGUUUACGAUCAUUCUUUGAGAGGAUGUAUCAAUAAAGUUAACGAUCAUUCUUUGAGAGGAUGUAUCAAAAUAAUGACAUGGAUUUUGUGAGAUUAUUGCUAUAAGAACUACUUUAGAAAUGAAAUGGAAUACCCAUACGAUCAGACACUUUAGUGUUAGUGUUGUUAGUAAUGUUGUUCGUAAAUGUUCUGUUGAACACCAGAAACUCAAACUGAUAGAUAUAUAAAUAUAUGUGUUAACGUUAUUAUUUGUCGCGGCUUUAUAACGUUUUCAUAGAAUAUUGAUUCUAAUUUGAAAAUGCACUGUGGGAGUAGAAGAGUACCAAGGUCAUAUGCAUUAAUUUUAAAGUAAUAGUAUUACUCGGAAGUAAUAGUUUAAUUCAGAAUGGUAUCAAGUAACUUGAAUAGUCAUGUUUUUGUUAGUGUUCUGUGUAGUGAAGGAAAUAGCUUAUUAGCAUUGGUUAAUGGUACGCCACUUUGAAAAGCUGUCGACCACCGACCAUGGUUUAUAUUUGUUCGUGGAAAAUGUCAUGAGUCUAACCAGUGUUAGCAGAAGCAUUGUCAUAGUUUGUCGGCGUAUAAGUUUCAAUUGUGGGUCUGCACUUGCGUUUUAAUGAAUGCGUAGUACAAUCUCUCGGCUGAAAAUGGCUAGAAGCCACUAAAUAAUUCGGUCGAGGACUGUGGGCCAAGGCAUUUGUAGAAUACUGUUUAACUAUAAGUUCAUUAUAACUGAUUAAAUCAAAAUUGCAUUCCAGCAUAGUCGGGUCUACUGUCUAAGUCACUGUGUCAUUACCUGACGUCGAAGGUGGACCUCAAUUUGUGUUAUUAGAUGACGUCAUAGGUUGAAGGCAGUGGGAUUCGGUGGUCUGGAGACUCGACGUAAUCAGUUUUCAGUUACUUUGCUCAAUGGCUGGUCUGCUAUAGACAUCUGAGUCGCAUGUUUUGUUCGCCCCUACGGUACAUGAAUUUUUCAUAAAUGGUCAGUGACAUGAGUAGUUUUUCUUCAUACGGUACAUUUAAUUAUGAUGAAUACCGUUAUUUCAAAUUAAUUCAUAACACUUUUAUAUAAAGCGUAUAUAUAAUGCGCUUACAUGUACUUUCGUGUUCUUCUGCUCCCACAGGUUUGCGAAGUUAGGCAUGGCAAUUAUACGAAAUUGUUACAGAAAAAUGAUAGUCGUAGAGUAUUGAUAUAUAUUUUAGCAUGCUUGAAUUCGUUCCGUUUUUCAGUAUUUCGAGGAAUAGUCUGAGCAUUUCAAUGUGUUAUACAUUGGCUACGGAAACACGUUUCCUCCUGUCCUAGUUAAAAAUCGGGAAGGGGGUUUUUCGUGGGCGGCUCGUAUUCUGUUUGAGAAAUAUACAAUCGAAUUUGUUCAACGUGAAAAAAAUGUAGCGGCUUUAACUGUAUUAUUUAAUAUACAGAUUCGAUUGUGGCAUGCAUAUCAAUUGAUAUGACGGCAUCUCGUAUAGCAUUUGUACAUAUCUGAAUAACAUUUACAUUUUGAUGCCGUAUGUUUGCUUUUCUAUUAUCGGAAUGUAAUAAUUGUUGAUUACUGUUUUCUGUUAGAAGAAAGAUACUUUUGUACACUAAUAACUUCUAUGUACAGUUAGUAUUUCCCCCUUUUGCAGCCAUCGCUGGGGAUGAUUGUUCUUUCGAUUGAUUCAAAUUUUAUCUUAUUUAUUUAAUGUAUUCUGUUUGUACCUUUGCAGUGUCGCUGGGGCAAAUGAAAUUAGGUUAUUUUCAAUAUACAUCUUUAAAUUAGCUGUUUGUAUAGUAUGUGCAUUUUAAACAUUAUGUCACCUUGCCAGUUGCCAUGAGAAAUCUUUAAAAUAAAGUCGCGGCCUUUUCCCACUAAACUGUGUUGUAGUUUUCAUUUAUACUGAUAUUUUAGUUGUAGUGGGUGUGACAGACGUAUAUGGUCGGACGCUAACUCAUCUGCCAACGAAAUGUGAUAAUAUCAGUCAUUAAUAAAUUCAAUCUUGUUUUCUUUUAAAAUGGCUGAUGAUUUUGCGUCUUGCUAAUGGCUGCUGUCAUUCCCUGUUAUAUACGGUCCAGUGAUA